rfam:Ricinus communis cultivar Hale ctg_1100012361884, whole genome shotgun sequence.
AAUCCAUGGUAUGGGUAUUGCGAUAAAAGUGAUUUGAAGCGAUUCCAUACUUCAUGAAAAGAUUCAGUAUUCUUUUGAUAAAAAUUAGUAAUUCAGCUUUCAAUUCC